AUGUAUUUCUAAUGGUUUUUAUUAUUUGAAAUGACAACAAGAGAUGUUGAGAGUACAAGAUGAGCAUUGUAGCACUCUUGAAGCACAGCCUUUGACCGAAGAGGAGAUAUCUAUGAUGGAUCUUAAGCCAAGAUCUGGCUAUGUAAAGGGACUUGGCAUGAGGCCUUCCUCAUCUCUUAAGACUCCUGCCUCAUCUUCCUCAACUCAGUAUACUCAACAACUCGAGGGUCGAGUAGAAGAGCUCUAGGAUGUAAACUACAAGCUGGAGGGUCAAGUAGAAGAGCUCCAGGCUGCAAACUUCAGGCUAGAGGAGAAGAUGGAUUGUAUCAUACAAUAUUUGAGGAGUAAGGGUGAUAGUGACAUCUGUGGCAGUGGGGGGAGCUCAUCUACUAACUAGAACACACCUUGAUAUGGGAUUGGUGGCAAAAAGAUAGCUUUUGUGGGACUGCUUGAACUCAAAUAAUUUUCUGUAAAGUUUGGAAGCUAAGACAUCAUUUGUAUAUAAAUGGUUGUAAUUACUUUGUGAACAUCUUUAUUGCAUUUUUAGAUUGUAUAGAUGUUUUUUUUUAUGGAUUUGGUUAGAAAUGAAUGGAUGUGUUUUUA